AACGAACGCUGGCGGCGUGGAUAAGACAUGCAAGUCGAACGGGACAGACCGAGUAGCAAUAUUUGGAAUGUUCAGUGGCGAACGGGUGCGUAACACGUGGAUAACAGUCCGGAAAGCGGGGAAUAGCCCAGGGAAACUUGGAUUAAUUCCGCAUGUGGCCGCAAGGCUAAAGACGGGGACCGCAAGGCCUGUCACUUUCCGAUUGGUCCGCGGCCUAUCAGCUAGUUGGCGGGGUAAUGGCCCACCAAGGCUACGACGGGUAGCUGGUCUUAGAGGAAGACCAGCCACACUGGAACUGAGACACGGUCCAGACACCGAAGGGUGGCAGCAGUCGAGAAUCUUUCACAAUGGGGGCAACCCUGAUGGAGCGACGCCGCGUGGAGGAUAAGGUCUUCGGAUUGUAAACUCCUGUCAUGCGAGAACAAGGUACUCAGGCUAAUAACCUGAUUGUUUGAUGGUACCGCAAGAGGAAGAGACGGCUAACUCUGUGCCAGCAGCCGCAGUAACAC
rnacentral:rRNA from 1 species